UACGGGGGGAGCAAGCGUUGUUCGGAUUUACUGGGCGUAAAGGGCGCGUAGGCGGUCGUGACAAGUCACUUGUGAAAUCUCCGGGCUUAACUCGGAACGGUCAAGUGAUACUGUCGGACUAGAGUACAGAAGGGGCAACUGGAAUUCUCGGUGUAGCGGUGAAAUGCGUAGAUACCAGGAGGAACACCGGUGGCGAAGGCGGCUUCCUGGCCAAGUACUGACGCUGAGGCACGAAAGCGUGGGGAGCGAACGGG
rnacentral:rRNA from 1 species